UGUAAGAAAACUAACGUUACAUAUUUACUUUUCCAUAGAAAACAAGCAAAAUGGUUCAUUUUGUGAGGAGUUUAAGUCGAGAACUAGCUGGAUUUGCACUGUGUGGAAGUUGGAAAGGACAAGCACACAUUGAAGGUGGCUAAGAGAAAGUUGGGUACUCACAAGAGGACAAAGAGGAGAGAAAAAAUGUCCAGCAUACUUCACAAAAUGAGGUUUGGUGGAGACGUGCUGAAAUUAUGUCCGGAGGAAACAUUGACGAUGAAAAUGUUACUAAUAAGACAACCAAUGUGGUGUACAAGGACAUUUUUAGUGAAAUUUGAUUUUUCUUAAA